rnacentral:rRNA from 1 species
UACAGAGGGCGCGAGCGUUAAUCGGAAUUACUGGGCGUAAAGCGCGCGUAGGCGGCUUUGCAAGUCGGGUGUGAAAUCCCCAGGCUUAACCUGGGAACUGCAUUCGAGACUGCAUUGCUAGAGUAUGGGAGAGGGAAGUGGAAUUUCCGGUGUAGCGGUGAAAUGCGUAGAUAUCGGAAGGAACACCAGUGGCGAAAGCGGCUUCCUGGUCCAGCACCGACGUUCAGGCACGAAAGCGUGGGGAGCAAACAGG